rnacentral:rRNA from 1 species
UAGUCCACGCUGUAAACGAUGUCGACUAGCCGUUGGGCUCAUUUUAGGGUUUAGUGGCGCAGCUAACGCGAUAAGUCGACCGCCUGGGGAGUACGGCCGCAAGGUUAAAACUCAAAGGAAUUGACGGGGGCCCGCACAAGCGGUGGAGCAUGUGGUUUAAUUCGAUGCAACGCGAAGAACCUUACCAGCCCUUGACAUCCUGCGAACUUUCUAGAGAUAGAUUGGUGCCUUAGGGAACGCAGUGACAGGUGCUGCAUGGCUGUCGUCAGCUCGUGUCAUGAGAUGUUGGGUUAAGUCCCGUAACGAGCGCAACCCUUGUCCUUAGUUGCCAGCACAUAAUGGUGGGAACUCUAAGGAGACUGCCGGUGAUAAACCGGAGGAAGGUGGGGGAUGACGUCAAGUCAUCAUGGGCCCUUAUGGGGCUGGGGCUACACACGUGCUACAAUGGCCGGUACAGAGGGGUUGCGAAGCAGCGAUGUGGGAGCCAAUCCCAG